UGCGGGAUCGUCUAAUGGUAGGACAGUGGUCUUUGGAACCAUCAAUCGGGGUUCGAAUCCCUGUCCCGCAGCCA
rnacentral:tRNA from 2 species